rnacentral:lncRNA from 1 species
UUUACUGAAAAGUUUUCUACUCGAAAGUUAUUAUUUAAGACCUGCAAAAGAGAAAGAAGGAUGUUAAUUUUAGUUCUGUAAAAGGAUGGUCUAAUAUUUUCAAACUUUCUGCUGCAUCUUGAUUUCCAUAUCUCCCAACAGAUGAUGAGAGGUAGAAUUCUGGUGAUGCACUUGGCUAUGGUGUUUUGAGAUUUGUGGUUCCACCAUUUGAG